rnacentral:rRNA from 1 species
UACAGAGGUCCCAAGCGUUGUUCGGAUUCAUUGGGCGUAAAGGGUGCGUAGGCGGCGCGGUAAGUCGGGUGUGAAUACUCGGAGCUUAACUCCGAAACUGCAUUCGAUACUGCCGUGCUUGAGGACUGGAGAGGAGACUGGAAUUUACGGUGUAGCGGUGAAAUGCGUAGAUAUCGUAAGGAAGACCAGUGGCGAAGGCGGGUCUCUGGACAGUUCCUGACGCUGAGGCACGAAGGCCAGGGGAGCAAACGGG